rnacentral:rRNA from 1 species
GUAUGUGGCAAGCGUUGUCCGGAAUUAUUGGGCGUAAAGCGCGCGCAGGUGGUUCUUUAAGUCUGAUGUGAAAGCCCCCGGGCUCAACCGGGGAGGGUCAUUGGAAACUGGGGAACUUGAGUGCAGGAGAGGAAAGUGGAAUUCCACGUGUAGCGGUGAAAUGCGUAGAUAUGUGGAGGAACACCAGUGGCGAAGGCGACUUUCUGGCCUGUAACUGACACUGAGGCGCGAAAGCGUGGGGAGCAAACAGGAUUAGAUACCCUGGUAGUCCACGCCGUAAACGAUGAGUGCUAAGUGUUGGGGGGUUUCCGCCCCUCAGUGCUGCAGCUAACGCAUUAAGCACUCCGCCUGGGGAGUACGGUCGCGAGACUG